AACCGGAUGAGAUACCCUGGUAGUCCAUGCCGUAAACGAUGAGUGCUAAGUGUUGGAGGGUUUCCGCCCUUCAGUGCUGCAGCUAACGCAUUAAGCACUCCGCCUGGGGAGUACGACCGCAAGGUUGAAACUCAAAGGAAUUGACGGGGGCCCGCACAAGCGGUGGAGCAUGUGGUUUAAUUCGAUGCUACGCGAAGAACCUUACCAGGUCUUGACAUCUUCUGCCAACCUAAGAGAUUAGGCGUUCCCUUCGGGGACAGAAUGACAGGUGGUGCAUGGUUGUCGUCAGCUCGUGUCGUGAGAUGUUGGGUUAAGUCCCGCAACGAGCGCAACCCUUAUUGUUAGUUGCCAGCAUUUAGUUGGGCACUCUAGCAAGACUGCCGGUGACAAACCGGAGGAAGGUGGGGAUGACGUCAAAUCAUCAUGCCCCUUAUGACCUGGGCUACACACGUGCUACAAUGGACGGUACAACGAGUCGCGAAACCGCGAGGUCAAGCUAAUCUCUUAAAGCCGUUCUCAGUUCGGAUUGUAGGCUGCAACUCGCCUACAUGAAGUUGGAAUCGCUAGUAAUCGUGGAUCAGCAUGCCACGGUGAAUACGUUCCCGGGCCUUGUACACACCGCCCGUCACACCAUGAGAGUUUGUAACACCCAAAGCCGGUGAGGUAACCUUCGGGAACCAACCGUCUAAGGUGGGACAGAUGAUUAGGGUGAAGUCGUAACAAGGUAACC
rnacentral:rRNA from 1 species